UUUUUUAAUUUUUUUAAAGUAGAUAAUGAAUGCCAUAAAUAAAACAGAGUGGCUCGGCCAACAUGUCAAACAAGCAAAACUGCGUCGUUAAAAUUCAACACAUCAGCAAUAAAAACAAAAAUUAACGUCGAAAAAAUAUCAACGUCAGCCACUCGAACUCAAAACGAAAGUCAGCACAAGUUAAGCAUUAAGCAAGCCAAGUUAUAUGGCUAUGAUGGCGUACUCACUGCAGGUUACGCAUAUACACGAAGAUACUUUUGAUAUACAUUUUAUUUGCUUUCUGCAGCUUAUAGUCAUGGCUGUGGCUAUGGCAGUUGCUGUUGCUGUGCCCCUGUAUCUAUAUAUUGUAUCUGAAUCUGAACGAAUGGCAUGAUUUCGAAUUGGCAUGGUUUCUACUACUGCUGCUGCUGCUGAUUCUAUAAUACUUCGAAUCGAAUGGCAUCAGUGGGGUCUGGGGUCGGACGUAUCAGGCUUCUAGUUUUCCAUCGAAACUUUUCGUUCGUUCAUUCGUGGGUUGUUGUUGUUUCAUUGCUGUUGCUGGGACUGAGAGCCGAGUGCCCGUCCAAUUUCAUGGCACAAAAGCAAGCUUUUGUAGCUUGAUAGCGGCGCGCAGAGGGCAGCGGACAGUACAGUCAGCAGCGUACAUAUGUAUGAGGUUGAGCGGAGACUUUUUAUGGUUAUUUUCGACAGCGUACGUAAAUUAUCGACUGUUCGUAAUUUCGCUUGUCGAAUUUUUUGGAUAGAAACGCCUUGAUCUAAUUUAUGUGAGAUUUUUAUUUAAAAAUUGGUACAUGGGCGUUGUUCUGACAUGAAAUCUAAACACAAAAAUGGCUAUGCUGACGAUGACGAUGGAUCCCUGGUUUUCUCACACCCUAAAUCAUGAUUGAUGCUGUUUCGUAGUCGGUAUUGGCAAAAAAACAAGGAAAAUGCUUGGAAAACUUUUACAGAAUUUAUUAUGAUGUUUUGUAUUUCCCUAAAAUCGAUUUACCAUUUAAAUUGAAAAUUAAGAAAAAGGAAAAAUAAAAUGACGGAAUUGUUUGGAUGAGUUUGACAAAUUCAUCAUUUUAUUUUUCGAAAUUAAAAUGUAUUAUUCAAUUCUCAAUAUUACUUUCAUGCAAAUGUGA